AUUGAACGCUGGCGGCAUGCCUUACACAUGCAAGUCGAACGGCAGCAUGAUCUAGCUUGCUAGAUUGAUGGCGAGUGGCGAACGGGUGAGUAAUACAUCGGAACGUGCCCUGUAGUGGGGGAUAACUAGUCGAAAGAUUAGCUAAUACCGCAUACGACCUGAGGGUGAAAGUGGGGGACCGCAGGGCCUCAUGCUAUAGGAGCGGCCGAUGUCUGAUUAGCUAGUUGGUGGGGUAAAGGCCCACCAAGGCGACGAUCAGUAGCUGGUCUGAGAGGACGAUCAGCCACACUGGGACUGAGACACGGCCCAGACUCCUACGGGAGGCAGCAGUGGGGAAUUUUGGACAAUGGGCGAAAGCCUGAUCCAGCAAUGCCGCGUGUGUGAAGAAGGCCUUCGGGUUGUAAAGCACUUUUGUCCGGAAAGAAAUGGCUCUGGUUAAUACCUGGGGUCGAUGACGGUACCGGAAGAAUAAGGACCGGCUAACUACGUGCCAGCAGCCGCGGUAAUACGUAGGGUCCAAGCGUUAAUCGGAAUUACUGGGCGUAAAGCGUGCGCAGGCGGUUGUGCAAGACCGAUGUGAAAUCCCCGAGCUUAACUUGGGAAUUGCAUUGGUGACUGCACGGCUAGAGUGUGUCAGAGGGGGGUAGAAUUCCACGUGUAGCAGUGAAAUGCGUAGAGAUGUGGAGGAAUACCGAUGGCGAAGGCAGCCCCCUGGGAUAACACUGACGCUCAUGCACGAAAGCGUGGGGAGCAAACAGGAUUAGAUACCCUGGUAGUCCACGCCCUAAACGAUGUCAACUAGUUGUUGGGGAUUCAUUUCCUUAGUAACGUAGCUAACGCGUGAAGUUGACCGCCUGGGGAGUACGGUCGCAAGAUUAAAACUCAAAGGAAUUGACGGGGACCCGCACAAGCGGUGGAUGAUGUGGAUUAAUUCGAUGCAACGCGAAAAACCUUACCUACCCUUGACAUGCCACUAACGAAGCAGAGAUGCAUUAGGUGCUCGAAAGAGAAAGUGGACACAGGUGCUGCAUGGCUGUCGUCAGCUCGUGUCGUGAGAUGUUGGGUUAAGUCCCGCAACGAGCGCAACCCUUGUCUCUAGUUGCUACGAAAGGGCACUCUAGAGAGACUGCCGGUGACAAACCGGAGGAAGGUGGGGAUGACGUCAAGUCCUCAUGGCCCUUAUGGGUAGGGCUUCACACGUCAUACAAUGGUGCAUACAGAGGGUUGCCAAGCCGCGAGGUGGAGCUAAUCCCAGAAAAUGCAUCGUAGUCCGGAUCGUAGUCUGCAACUCGACUACGUGAAGCUGGGAUCGCUAGUAAUCGUAUAUCAGCAAUGAUGCGGUGAAUACGUUCCCGGAUCUUGUACACACCGCCCGUCAAGCCAUGGAAGCUGGGUGUACCUAAAGUCGAUAACCGCAA
rnacentral:rRNA from 1 species